ACUGCGUUAUUGGCUCGUUCAUGUGACAGCCCUGACAGGUCGGAAGAGAAAUAGCUGCAGAAACUGAAAUCUCCCAGAGAAUGUGGCAGGAUUUUUUUUUCCUUUAAUGCUUGAAUGUCACACGAAGUAGCAUUUUAUUCAAGACGUAUUCUUUUCCAUCUUUCACAGGCUAAUCCUGCGCAGAGCUAAAUAUCAGUGCAGUCAGAACUGAGGCAGGCGAAUAAGAAGGUCAGGGUUUCACGGAGCUGAGCUCUGGAACCUUCAGGGGCUGAUGUUGUUUCCCUGCCCUGUGUCUUUCCUGACCCGCAGUUGUGUGAGUUGGCACUUGCUCCCCUUUCCUUAACAGCCAGGUAAUGCUAUUAAUUAAUGAAGAGCUUCUUGGAAAAAUCCGAGCAGAUAGAAGCAGUGCUGGACUAACAGCUUUUUAGUGCCUCGGUGGUUCAUUCUUUUUUAGUAUGUUUUUUCUGUGAGGACAUAGUGAUGUCCAGCCCAGCCGUUAGGACAUGUUGGUAAUUAUCCUCACACCAUUCUCCCUCUUAGAUGCCGUUUUUAUAUCUUUACAAUCAUUACAUUCCAGUGAGAUACCUAGAAAACUCAUAUUUAGUGCUAUAUCGCUGCUGCGAUCCCGUCCCUCUCCUCUCUGCUCCAGUCAAUGUGUAUUCCAGCUACGUUCUUAGCCUUCUCCCAGGAAACACAAGACUUCAAAGCCAGGAGACUUGUGAAAGACUUCAGAAAUGCAGAAAUGGCACCCAGACAAACACACCUUUUUGGUGUUGGGCUCUGGGGAAGCGAACUGGGGAGGGAACAUUGUGGAAAGGGUGUGGAGAAAGAUGCCUUUCACAAACUGGUUUGAAGGAGCUUGUCUCACCUAAAAGUGAAUUCAUGUGUUAUCUGUGAGAAGGAUUUCAUUUGAAAGUCCAGCUUUGUGGUUAUUUGAAAAACAAUGUUCACCGAAUUUAUAAAUUAAGUGUGUGAAAAUGACAGAUUAAGAAGCAUCUUUGAGGAUGCUGUUUCUUUUCUAAGUGAGACUAUUUUUAAGCAUAUGGGAAUUUGUAUAAUAAAGACAGUGGAAUUUCUUUAAUCCA
rnacentral:lncRNA from 1 species